rnacentral:tRNA from 1 species
CCGGGGCUUUUCUCCCGUC